UCUCCUCAGCAGAUGAGACAGCACUGGACAAAGGAACGAGCUGUACACAAGUGGUACAAGUGUGAAGGUCAGGGGUGAGGAAGCCAAAUGACUCUCCUUGCAUCAUCCUUGUUGGAGAAGUAGCAAGAUCAAGACUAAAACUCUUCGGUUCCAGCUUUGUGCCACGGCAGCUGAGCUGCAGCCACUCAAGGCAACGAUCCGAGAGGAAACUGCACAGCAUGUUCACUUAACACUGUCUUUUGGAGCUGUGAAGCAAGCAGGUAGAGAAAGGGCCAGAGGAGGGUGUGACAUUAAAUUGUUUCUGCUCAAGGAGCUUUUAGGAGCUGCACACUGGUCUAGAGAUGCCAGAUUGCUGAUGGGAAUUUGCUCAACCUUUAAAGGAUAAAAAAAAUCCCCAGCUGCUCCAAGUUUCUUCUUACCUUGGCUUGUCACUGCCCUCCUCAUUAUCAUCUUUUAUGGCAUCUCAUGAGCUGUUGAAAGCAUCAGAGGAGGAAAUUAAGGGCCGUAUACUGUCCAGGCUCUGUGGCUGUAUGUCCCCUGAAGAGCUAUUCUCUCCUGGACGUGCCCACAAGUGGCUUCCAUGAAUGUUGCAUGGCACACUGAAGAAAGGCUGGAGAGACAAAGGAAAGAGCUAAAAUACUGCUGGAGAUCUCCCUCUUCGUUUCCCAUCCUCUGCUUCUCCUUGUAAACCUCUCCACUCCCUUUCCACAACAGAUGUAGGCAUUCCUUUGAGAUUUCUGGCCCUGCCUCACAUGAUUGCUACUCCUCAUUGCAUCCUGACUGCAUCUAGCUGUGGCCAUCAGUCCUUACUCCUUACUGCAUCUGGGGUUGCCACCAACUCCCUCUCCUUUCCUCUCUGCAUUUCAAACCCUCUGCAUGGGAUGAGCUUGGGCCCAAGACCUGAUAGAGGCUUUAAAAAUAAAGUCUUGUCUAAAAUCCA